rnacentral:misc_RNA from 1 species
GAUGAAGAACGUAGCGAAAUGCGAUAAGUAAUGAAUUGCAGAAUUCAGUGAAUCAUCGAAUCUUUGAACGCACCUUGCGCCCUUUGGCUAUUCCGAAGGGCAUGCCUGUUUGAGUAUCAUGAACACCUCAACUCUCAUGGCUUGCCAUGACGAGCUUGGACUUUGGGGGUCUUGCUGGCCUGUGGUCAGCUCCUCUCAAAUGAAUUAGCUUGCCAGUGUUUGGUGGCAUCACGGGUGUGAUAACUAUCUACGCUUGUGGUCCUCCACCAGGUAACCUUCCAGUGAUGGGGGUUCGCUGGGGCUUAUAAAUGUCUCUCCUCAGUGAGGACAGCUCUUUGAACGUUUGAUCUCAAAUCAGGUAGGACUACCCGCUGAACUUAAGCAUAUCAAUAAGCGGAGGA